rnacentral:tRNA from 1 species
GGAAAGAUGGAUGAGCGGUUUAAGUCGCACGCCUGGAAAGCGUGUGUGGGUUCAUAGCCCACCGAGGGUUCGAAUCCCUCUCUUUCCGCCA